CCUACGGGUGGCAGCAGUGAGGAAUAUUGGUCAAUGGACGAGAGUCUGAACCAGCCAAGUAGCGUGAAGGAUGACUGCCCUAUGGGUUGUAAACUUCUUUUAUAUGGGAAUAAAAUGUUCCACGUGUGGGAUUUUGUAUGUACCAUAUGAAUAAGGAUCGGCUAACUCCGUGCCAGCAGCCGCGGUAAUCCGGAGGAUCCGAGCGUUAUCCGGAUUUAUUGGGUUUAAAGGGAGCGUAGGUGGAUUGUUAAGUCAGUUGUGAAAGUUUGCGGCUCAACCGUAAAAUUGCAGUUGAAACUGGCAGUCUGGAGUACAGUAGAGGUAGGCGGAAUUCGUGGUGUAGCGGUGAAAUGCUUAGAUAUCACGAAGAACUCCGAUUGCGAAGGCAGCUCACUGGACUGCAACUGACACUGAGGCUCGAAAGUGUGGGUAUCAAACAGGAUUAGAUACCCGAGUAGUC
rnacentral:rRNA from 1 species